GACACAUAUCCAGCAAAGGAAGAAAAUUUGCCUCCAGUUCGUGGCUCAAACAGCUGUCUUCAUGUUGCCAAAGGAAAAUAUUCUAAAAGUAGAUCAGCUAAAAAGAAAAUUCCAAGGGAUUAUGCAGAAUGGGAUAAAUUUGAUGUGGAAAAGGAAUGUUCAAAAAUUGAUGAAGAUUGCAAAGAAAAAACUAUAAUAAACAACAAGUCACAUUUGUCUAAAACUGAGACAAGAUUAGACAUGGCAGGUGUGACUGAGAAGGAAAAGGAUUUUCUUGCUACUCGUGAAAAGGAGAAAGGAAAUGAAGCUUUCAAGUCGGGAGAUUACGAAGAGGCUGUGAAAUAUUA